GUCUUUUUGAUUAUAAUUUAAAGUCUAACCUGCCCAAUGAAUUAUUCAAUGGCCGCAGUAUUUUAACUGUGCGAAGGUAGCAUAAUAAUUAGUUUUUUAAUUGAGAACUGGUAUGAAUGGUUGGACGAGAUAAUAGCUGUCUCAAUUUAAUUUAAAUUAGAAUUUUAUUUUUAAGUUAAAAAGCUUAAAUUUUUUUAAAAGACGAGAAGACCCUAUAGAGUUUUAUAUUAAAUUUAUAUUUUAUUUAUAAAGUAUUAUUUUUAUUUUAUGUGAAUUUACUAUUUUAUUGGGGCGAUAUAAAAAUUUAAUGAACUUUUUAUUUUUUAUUACAUUGAUAUAUGAUUGAAUGAUCCAUUAUUUAUGAUUAAAAGAUUAAAUUACCUUAGGGAUAACAGCGUAAUUUUUUUUUAGAGUUCUUAUCGAAAAAAAAGUUUGCGACCUCGAUGUUGGAUUAAAA
rnacentral:rRNA from 1 species